UUUCAACCUCGCUCUCGAUUGCGAUUCUUCCGAAAUAACUAAACUUCUCUCCGUUGGUCGGAAUUCCAUAUGCUACAACUUGUAUCGUGCAAUCGGUGGUGCGGUAUACCCAUCGAAUUGUGCUUGGAAGAGCCCAAGAAGAGAUAGACCAAAACGGGAAAAAACGCCAUAUAGAUUCCCAUCACUGGAGAAACGUUGCCGAGAAUCGCGUAGGCCAUCCCUGUACGUGCAUAGCUUACCCUGCGGAAUGUGCAUGACGGCAACUGUGACACCAGCGGCCAGGUCGCCGGCGAUGUCGCGUUUCCACUCGUACUUCGGUAGCCAUUCGAUAAGAGGAAUACUCCCCUUCAGGAAAUCGACGACGGUGAACUUUCGGCAUUUUUCGCCAACUCUUUGACUCACUGUAAUUCGAUAUCGCGGAAUUCAGAAUAAGACUACGCAGAUCGGGCGUGGUAUCGCCAUUGACCAGCUAAUCCUCAUUGGCCGUGCAAUUUUUUUGUAACUCACUCGGGCGUUUUGGCUUGAUGUAAUCGCAGACACGUUGCAGUUCGUCGAGUUGGUAAACCGGUCGCCGGACUUUAACUUCGGCGCCGAUAGUGGCAGUCAUAUUGGUAAUAUCUGCGUUCGAGAGACAAGUUAUUCGCACGAUUGAAUAGAAAUUAAUGCGAUUCCUAUCCUGACUCUGUCGACAUUGACCGCGCCUCGCUUUUGUAAUACGGCACUGUCUUUUCUUCUGACACCUGUACGAUUUCAAAUUGAAAUCCGACCUCCACGCGCUUUCUUCGUUUCGUCCAACGGAGCGUGCGAUAAUCUAUAAUGAUCCAGAGGUGCAAAAGUUGCGCGACGUCGCGACUUCCACGGCUCGUACUCUAUAAAAACUGUACACCACAUCCGAAUCCCGAUGACCUCCCGCUCGUUAUAUCCUGCUGCAGGGCGGAGCUCGAGACAGGGCCGAUAUAAUAGCGAUUAACUUUUUGACGAGCACAUCUAUCGGUCGACAAUAAUUUGGAUAUUUACAACGUAUAGCUCCACCCUCACCAUUCGUUGAAUGUUCUUCGAUCCCAAACACAUUUCCGAUUCACGCGUAUGGUAUUACGGCGUAUCGGCGAUACAACUUUAAAGAUGUUGCAAAUGCAGUUGUUGUAAACUCACCUCGAUUCUUCGCGAUUCGAAUUUUUGAUAUGCCUCAGUCGGACGAUGCCGUUGAUCAAUGUUGUCAGUGGCGAGUUGCGAA
rnacentral:misc_RNA from 1 species